GCAAGGGAACGGAACGGAAGGGGAGGGAAGCGGGAGAGGCGCUGGGUUCCCCGGGGCAGGAAGCGGCGGCCGGGGGCUCCGGGAAGGGCCCGGGUGAGGGGCGCCUCCGGGUCCCGGCAGCCAUGCCCUUGUCUCCCUCCCGGGCACGGAGCCGGGGCCCGGCGGGGCGGCGAAGCGCGGCGAGGGACCGGGAGCGGGAGCGGCAGCACCGAGCCCAGCCUCACAGACUUUCUUACGGCUCCAGCUCUGCGUUGUUUCAGCUCCAGCCCUGCAGUGUUUAGCUCAGCCUCAGCUCUACAUCUUCCUGCUGCCUCCGUGUUCUCACAGCAGCUCUGGGGGCUGUUGAUAAGCUUGUUUUCAGGCCCAGAAACACAGCACUCUGGGGACUUUUGGAGCAGCUGAACCCCAGGACUGAGCUGGGCUGUUCAGCCCCAACCACAGAACUUCAUCCUCCUUUGGGGGGCUGGAAACACCCUUGAGGCUGCUGCUGCUGUGGCCCAUGUGUGAAGGGAAAGGGGGGCCACAGCCCAGGGAGUGCUUGGGAACUGCGGGCACCCACCCAGACAGGGAAAGCUUUAUUGCACUUUAUUCCACUUGAUUUU